rnacentral:rRNA from 1 species
AUUGAACGCUGGCGGCAUGCCUUACACAUGCAAGUCGAACGGCAGCACGGGUGCUUGCACCUGGUGGCGAGUGGCGAACGGGUGAGUAAUACAUCGGAACAUGUCCUGUAGUGGGGGAUAGCCCGGCGAAAGCCGGAUUAAUACCGCAUACGAUCUACGGAUGAAAGCGGGGGACCUUCGGGCCUCGCGCUAUAGGGUUGGCCGAUGGCUGAUUAGCUAGUUGGUGGGGUAAAGGCCUACCAAGGCGACGAUCAGUAGCUGGUCUGAGAGGACGACCAGCCACACUGGGACUGAGACACGGCCCAGACUCCUACGGGAGGCAGCAGUAGGGAAUUUUGGACAAUGGGCGAAAGCCUGAUCCAGCAAUGCCGCGUGUGUGAAGAAGGCCUUCGGGUUGUAAAGCACUUUUGUCCGGAAAGAAAUCCUUGGCUCUAAUACAGGCGGGGGAUGACGGUACCGGAAGAAUAAGCACCGGCUAACUACGUG